rnacentral:rRNA from 1 species
UGGGGAAUAUUGCACAAUGGGCGCAAGCCUGAUGCAGCAACGCCGCGUGAACGUUGAAUUUCUUCGGUUCGUAAAGUUCUUUUGCAGGGGAAGAUAAUGACGGUACCCUGUGAGGAAGCCCCGGCUAACUACGUGCCAGCAGCCGCGGUCAUACGUAGGGGGCUAGCGUUAUCCGGAUUUACUGGGCGUAAAGGGUGCGUAGGUGGUCCUUCAAGUCGGUGGUUAAAGGCUACGGCUCAACCGUAGUAAGCCGCCGAAACUGGAGGACUUGAGUGCAGGAGAGGAAAGUGGAAUUCCCAGUGUAGCGGUGAAAUGCGUAGUAGUUGGGAGGAACACCAGUAGCGAAAGCGGCUUUCUGGACUGCAACUGACACAGAGGAACGAAAGCGUGGGUAGCAAACAGG